rnacentral:tRNA from 1 species
AAGAGGGACUGUCGACCUGCUAGCUCGACCCCCCCCAAAACUAACCAGUUGGCCCUCUUA